GGGAAUAUUGCACAAUGGGCGCAAGCCUGAUGCAGCCAUGCCGCGUGUGUGAAGAAGGCCUUCGGGUUGUAAAGCACUUUCAGCGAGGAGGAAGGUGGUGAGCUUAAUACGUUCAUCAAUUGACGUUACUCGCAGAAGAAGCACCGGCUAACUCCGUGCCAGCAGCCGCGGUAAUACGGAGGGUGCAAGCGUUAAUCGGAAUUACUGGGCGUA
rnacentral:rRNA from 1 species